UUUAGAAAAAAUUUCUAGAAAUGUUUCUUCUCUGUGUCCAAUGGAGAGAUCUUCAGAGUGGUGGUUAGAAAUGCUGGAUCCAGAGCCAGCCUUGCUAGAGAGGAAUCUUGUCUCCAUAACUAAUGUGUUAACCUGGGACAACUAGUUUAACGUCUCUAAAUUUCAAGUGGAGGUUUAGAAAUGGAGCACUGGGAAGCAGUUGCAGGCCUCCUGUGAAAUUCUCUUUUCUACAGCCUUCAUGAAAUGAGCGAUUUGGUUAGAUUACAGUAUGUUAUAUGGAUAAGAGUCAUUCCUGAGGUCAUGUUCCUCAUUUAUAUAUUAAAUCAGUAUUCAUUGAGUUCUUUUUAUGUUUUAGACACUGUUCAAAUUGUGAAUAAGAGAGACAAGAUUCUUGCUCUGGAGUAGUAUACAUCUUAGGUGGGUUCGAAAAAAUAUAAGUGCCGGGCACGGUGGCUCACGCCUGUUAUCCCGGUAAUUUAGGAAGCUGAGACAGGCAGAUCCCCUGAGGUCAGGAGUUUGAGACCAGCCUAGCCAACAUGAUGAAACCCUGUCUCUACUAAAAAUACAAAAAAAUUAUCUGGGCUUGGUGGCAGGCGCCUGUAAUCCCAGCUACUCGGAAGGCUGAGGCAGAAGAAUAGCUUGUUCCAGGGAGGCGGAGUUUGCAGUGAGCCCAGAUCAUGCCAUUGCACUCCAGCCCGAGCAAGAAGAGCAAAACUCCAUCUCAAAAAAAAAAAAAAAAAAAAAGAAAGAAAAAAAAAAAGAAAGAAAAAUAUAAGCAAAUCAAUAAUAAAAAAAGGUACUUUCACAGAGUGUUGUAUUUAAUGAAGGAAAUAGGCAAAUUUGAGAAUAGAAGGUGAGAGAGACACUUUGGUUACAAUAAUCAGGAUAAAACUCUUAGCUAUAAGGACUUCUGAGCAGAGAUUAUCGACUAGAAUAAUCUAUACAUUUAAGGACUUGGGGAGAAAAUCCGAGGUAGAAAGAAAUUCAAGUCAAUAUCCAUAGGCAGAGUUAAGUUUCUAUUAUAUGAGAAAGAGAGAUGUAGCUAAUACAGUGGGGUUUAGUCAAUAAAGAACAGAGCCAUGAAGGCCAAAAGUCCAGACAGAAGAUUAUAGAGACUGGGAUCAGGGAAGUGAAGAAGAGUUAGUGGCAAGGGUUCAGAGAAGAGUACAGAGACUGAGCAACUUGACAUAGGUAGUGGUGCCACUAAAACUAGGGAAAAAGAAGGUUUGAGGUGAAUAUUCAAGACUGAUUUUUACAUAGCAUUGUGGAUUGAAUUGUGUUCCCCUAAAAUUCAUAUGUUGAAGUCAUAACAUCCAGUAUCUUGGAAUAUGACAACAUUUGGAGAUAAGGCCUUUAAAUAUGUAAUUAAGGUACACUGAAGUCAUUAGAAUGGAGCCCUAAUCCAUUGUGACUGGUGCCCUUUAGGAAGAAGGUGUCACCAGGAAUGCACAUGCCCAAAGGAAGGCCCAUGUGAGAGCACAGUGAGGUGUCCAACUGCAUGCUAAGGAGAGCGGCCUCAGAAGAAACCUUCCUUGCUGGGACCUUAAUCUUGGACUUCCAGCUUCUAGAACUGUGACAAAAUAAAUUGUUGUUUUAUAGCCACCCAGAUGCUAGUAUUUUUUAUGGCAGCCCUAACAGAUUAAUUCACGCAGUAAGUAUUUUGGGAUGCACAGCACAACCAGCUAAAAUGAAAAGUAAAAUAUUGAAAUGAAGAGAUGCUAGAGUGAGAAAUUAAAAUUUUAAAGACAACAGAUUCAAUAUAUAACCAAGAUUACCUAGAACUAUUUAUGAAUCUUAGUAUAGUUUCUGCAGAUGGGGAAGUGAAUCAUAUUCCUCAAAUUGCAGAUAAGUUAAGAGGUAAUCCCUGGAAAACUCACUGGUUCUGUUCAUUGUUUCCACAAUGCCAUUUAUAGAAAAACAACACUACUAUUGGGCUCCAGAAUUGAUAAAAAGAGACACAGUCUAGUUUCAGAACUUGGAUCCAAUAAUACAUAGGUGACAGGCUUCUAAUAAUUAGGGAUCCGUGUAAGAACGUUAAUUGUUUAUAAAGCUUGGGUAUAAAGAGGACGUAAAAAAAUUAGGUAUUAAUCAUUGAGGAAAUUGAAAACAAGAAUAGUUUUCCAAUUCUGAAUCCAGGCAGUAAGACUUGAAGAAAAACUAGAACUGAAUAUGCUGAAUGGAAUUUUCAGAUGCCUUGCUCAGUCUUUGGGACAUUGAUCAAAAGAGAUUGAAGGCAUGGCUUCCACACCUGAAUGGGGAAGCAGAGACCUUCAAACCCACAAAGCCCUGAGUAAAUAUUAUUUUAGCUUGAAAGGUUGAAAUAAGCCAGGGGCCCUCAUGCUAUGAGAGAAAAACUGAUUUAAUUAGGCUAAAGUAAGGACUAUUUAUCAGAUUCAGAUUCUCAAAUAUCUAUUCUCAAAUAAUACAAUAACAUAUUUUUCUAAUAUCUCUUUUAACUUCUGAGAGGCCUGUGAACACAGAGAGAUGGGCUCCUUGUAUGAUGAGGACAUCAUUUUGGGCCUGGUUUCCUUCACACAUUCUCCUAAAUGUAGACAUUACCAAGUUGAAAAUUUAAGUAAAGCCUCAAGUUUGCUCAGCUGUUGUCUCAGGGGAAGCAGAUCCCCUCAACCCACCCCAGAUGAGGACUGACUGGUCCAAUGUGAAGCGAAUUCCUCUCAUUUGUGUUUGGUUCAGAGAUGGACAUGUGACCUAUUUGUAACCAAUAAUUCAUGAGAGAAGUCUGCUACAAGGUGUCUUCUGGAAAAGAUUUUGCUGCACGAAGAGAAUGUUUCUGUCUUUUUCAGGAUACAUUUAUAGCUAGAUAUAAUGCCUGGAACUGCUUCACACACAGAAUAUAAAACUAAAUUGAGAAUGACACUGCAAGAGAAUGAAAAGAAUCUGUAUCUUUGAUGGCCUCAUGAAGUCACUUAAACAACUUAAUCUGAAACUUGCCUACCUUGGGGCUUCGUGUUAUAAGAGUAUACAUAUUCUUUAAGCCACUUUGAGUCAGAUCUUCUGUUACUUAUGGCAAAACCAUCCUAUUUAAUGCAGGAGAGGAGCUUACAUUAUUGGUUGACAUAUCAAAGAACUUGCUUUACUGGUAGACAUGUAUAUAUUUUUAAAGCUGGCAUGCCUCAUUCAUCUUUGCUCAUAGGGCUGGAGCCAUCUCCUCCAUAAGAGUGAAACACAGCUGCAACAAACUGUAUUAUUUGCCUGAAACCCUGGGCAUGUAUAAGAUCACAAGACAUAGAAUUGAGUUAGAAAAGAAUCUCUAUUCCCAAGAAAACAGUAUUCUUCUAGGGAAAGGAAACUGUUCAGUGUCUCACAAAUAAAUUGCAAUGAAGUUUGCCAAUGGAAAUGGAAUGGACAACUUGAACUUGAGGGAAAAUGAACAAGAUGAAGAGCAAAGGAAACCUUGCCCUGGAAAUACACAGGGGAUGCAAGCAUGUCUUGAGAGUUCUCUCCAGAAGAAUAUUCAAUGAAAAGUUCAAGUUACUUAGAAAUUUAAACUUUGUUCCUGUAAUUGGAAAAUCAUUCUGAGUUUUUUUAUUUUUUAUAUAUAUUUUUAAGAUUCUUACAGUUUGACUAUACACUCUGGUAGGUAAAGGCUGAAGGAGUAAAGUGGCAUCGAGAAAGGGCAUCUUUUCUACCUUAGAUCCCUACAGAUACUAGACUUUGUCGCACCAGAAGAAUUAAGAAAUAAAAAAGUUUAGAAAAACUUUUAAGAGUGACAUAUACAAAAAAAAAAAAGAUUAAAAGGAUCAGCAAACUUCUUGUCUAAAUAAUAAUAAAAAAAAUAAUUUAGAACACACAGUAAUACUUAGAUUUAGAAUCAUGACAAACUGCUAAUCUCAGUGUUCACUUAAGUUUUAAUUCUGGUUUUGAACUGGAGAGAAAUGAAUACAAGAAAAAGCAAUAUGUGGUAUUCGGUGCCUUGGACCUGUAAGUUGCUUGCCCGUAUAAAUACGAGUAACAUUGGCACGUGUUAAGCAACACCAGCUGCUCUUCCUUUUCUCAUCCAGAGAAAGAAACUAUCAUCAGAGUGUACGGACGACCUAUAGAAUGGGAGAAGAAUUUUGCAAUCCACCCUUCUGACAAAGGAAUAAUAUCCAGAAUUUACAAGGAAUUUAAACAAAUUUACAAGAAAAAAAAAACAGUCCCAUCCAAAAGUGAAGAAAGGAUAUGAACUGACACUUCUUAAAAGAAGACUUCUAUGCUGCCAGCAAAUAUAUGAAAAAAAGCUCAACAUCACUGAUCAUCAGAGAAAUGCAAAUCAAAACCACAAUGAGAUACCAUCUCACACCAGACAGGGUGGCAGUUAUUAGAAAGUCAGGAAACAAUAGAUGCUGGCAAGGCUGUGGAGAAAUAGGAAAGCCUUUACACUGUUGGUGGGAGUGUUAAUUAGUUCAGCCAUUGUAGAAUACAGUAUGGCAAUUCCUCAAGGAUCUAGAACAAGAAAUACCAUUUGACUCAACAAUCCCAUUACUGGGUAUUUACCCAAAGGAAUAUAAAUCAUUCUACUAUAAAGACACAUGCACACAUACGUUUAUUCCAGCACUAUUUACCAGAGCAAAGACAUGGAGCCAACCCAAAUGCCCAUCAAUGAUAGAUUGGAUAAAAAAAAAAAAAUGUGGGACAUAUACACCAUGGAAUACUAUGCAGCCAUGAAAAAAUGAGAUCAUGUCCUUUGCAGGGACAUGGAUGAAGCUGGAAGACAUUAUCCUCAGCAAACUAACACAGGAAGAGAAAACCAAACAUCACAUGUUCUCACUCAUAAGGGAGUGUUGAACAAUGAGAAGACAUGGACACAGAGAGGGGAACAACACACACCAGGGCCUUUGAGGGGUGGGGGAUGAUGGGAAGGAAUUAGAGGUUGAGUCAGUAGAUGCAGCAAACCACCAUGUCACACGUAUAUCUAGGUAAAAAACCUGCACAUUCUGCACAUAUAUCCUUUUUGCUUUUUUGUUUUAAUUUGGGAUUUUAGAAGAAAUAAAGAAAAACAACUUAAAAAAGAAUGCAAGCUCCUAGAGGAAGGCCCAGAAAAUGCCUAUGGGGAACAUAGAGAGGCAUGUUCCCAGACAGAUAUGGAUUGAUUUAUUUCUUGAGAACAUAGGAUCAACUCAGAAGACCAUGGAUGGUAAAUUGGAUGAAGAAAAUGUAGUACAUGUGCACCAUGGAAUAAUACUACAUAAAGAUCAAAAAGAAUGAAAUCAGGUCCUUUGCAGCAACACAGAUGUAGCUGGAGGUCAUUAUCCUAAGUGAAUUGAUGGAGGAACAGAAAAGCAAAUACUGCAUGUUCUCACUCAUAAUUGGGGCUAAACUGAGCGCACAUGGACAUAAACAUGAGAACAAUAGACACUGCGGACUAUUAGAUAUGGGAGGGAGGAAGGGAGAAGUGCAAAAGUUGAUAAACUACUUACUGGGUACUAUGCUUACUACCUGGGUGAUAGGAUCCGUACUCCAGACCUCAGCAUCUUGUGAUACGCACAUGCAACAAAUCUGUACAUGUUCCCCUGUAUCUAAAAUAUAAGUUGAAAUUUUAAAAAUCCCUGCUUUUGUUUUUGUUUUCCAAUGAUAUUUAGAGGCUGUAGUCUAGGAGCUAGAAUGGAGACACUGCUUAAUAUUCUGGAAUAAUGGAAAGAUUGAGAAACCUGGUAUAUCAGUAAGAGCACAGCAUUUAGAAGUUUAUACUAAUAUGUGCAAUUCCAAUUUAAGAUCCAAAAUUUCCAAGUAAGUUAUCCAAUUAUAUUUUACCUUCUCUCAAC
rnacentral:lncRNA from 1 species